CCUACGGGAGGCAGCAGUGGGGAAUAUUGGGCAAUGGAGGCAACUCUGACCCAGCAACGCCGCGUGAAUGAUGAAGGUCUUCGGAUUGUAAAGUUCUGUGAUGGGGGAUGAACACAAUGACGGUACCCCAAUAGCAAGCCACGGCUAACUACGUGCCAGCAGCCGCGGUAAUACGUAGGUGGCAAGCGUUAUCCGGAAUGACUGGGCGUAAAGGGUGCGUAGGUGGUUUAGUAAGUUGGCGGUGUAAUUCCGGGGCUCAACCUCGGCGCUACCGCCAAAACUAUUAGACUAGAGUGCAGGAGGGGUAAGUGGAAUUUCUAGUGUAGGAGUGAAAUCCAUAGAUAUUAGAAGGAACACCAAUAGCGUAGGCAGGUUGCUGGGACGGUUCUGACACUAAGGCACGAAAGCGUAGGGAGCAAACGGGAUUAGAUACCCCGGUAGUC
rnacentral:rRNA from 1 species